UUACGGUCAUAUCACGUUGAAACACCGAUUACCGUACGAUCACCAAAGUUAAGCAACGUCGAGCCUGAUCUGUACCUAGAUGGGUGACGGCUUGGAAAUACCAGGUGCUGUAAG